rnacentral:pre_miRNA from 1 species
AAGGCUUGCUGCAAUGAAAAUUGAACGCUUAAGUAGUUAAUACAAGGGCGAGUUUUUUCUUGCAUCGCAUUGUGUGACCUACUUAAAUGACAAAUUUUCAAGACAUUUAUGGG